rnacentral:rRNA from 1 species
UACGUAGGCAGCAAGCGUUGUUCGGAGUUACUGGGCGUAAAGGGUGCGUAGGUGGCUCUAUAAGUAUGGUGUGAAAUCUCCCGGCUUAACUGGGAGGGUGCGCCGUAGACUGUGGGGCUAGAGUGUGGGAGAGGAAAGUGGAAUUCCUGGUGUAGCGGUGAAAUGCGUAGAGAUCGGAAGGAACACCAGUGGCGAAGGCGGCUACCUGGCCUAAUACUGACACUGAGGCACGAAAGCGUGGGGAGCAAACAGG